rnacentral:tRNA from 1 species
GGAGGGUCCAGCCGAGGGACGGCGACGGCUGCCGUUUCGAAAACGGUCAGGGGCAACCCGUGCGAGUUCGAUCCUCGCACCUUCCGCCA